rnacentral:rRNA from 1 species
UACGGAGGAUGCAAGCGUUAUCCGGAAUGAUUGGGCGUAAAGAGUCCGUAGGUGGCCAACUAAGUCAGACGUGAAAUCCCUCGGCUUAACCGGGGAACUGCGUCCGAUACUGGAUGGCUAGAGAUUGGGAGAGGGAUGCGGAAUUCCAGGUGUAGCGGUGAAAUGCGUAGAUAUCUGGAGGAACACCGGUGGCGAAGGCGGCAUCCUGGACCAACACUGACGCUGAGGAGCGAAAGCCAGGGGAGCAAACGGG